AACGAACGCUGGCGGCAUGCCUAACACAUGCAAGUCGAACGAGACCUUCGGGUCUAGUGGCGCACGGGUGCGUAACGCGUGGGAACCUGCCCUUAGGUUCGGAAUAACACCCCGUAAGGGGUGCUAAUACCGGAUAAUGUCUUCGGACCAAAUAUUCAUCGCCCUUGUAUGGGCCCGCGUUGUAUUAGCUAGUUGGUAGGGUAAAAGCCUACCAAGGAGACGAUCCAUAGCUGGUCUGAGAGGAUGAUCAGCCACACUGAGACUGAGACACGGCCCAGACUCCUACGGGAGGCAGCAGUGGGGAAUAUUGGACAAUGGGCGAAAGCCUGAUCCAGCAAUGCCGCGUGAGUGAUGAAGGCCUUAGGGUUGUAAAGCUCUUUUACCCGGGAUGAUAAUGACAGUACCGGGAGAAUAAGCACCGGCUAACUCCGUG
rnacentral:rRNA from 1 species